UAUUUUUCUUUUCAAUUUCAAUCUUCUUUUAUUUUCUCUCUCUUUAUCAGUGAUCAUUAAAUUCUAAUAUCUGUAUUUCUUUUUCUCUUGAUAAAUACUGAGCUGACUCAUUAUUAUUAUCAUUAUUAUACUGAAUGAAGUUAUUCAAUCUGCUAUAGCUCAAUUAUUUUUAUAAUAAUUCAUUGUCUUUAUAACUCUCAUUAUACUUUUGUACUUUUAUUCUUCUAUAGUUUACUGUUUUUAUUCUUCAGUUUCUUUUCACUAUUUUUUUAUUCUUUAUAUAUUUUUAAUUCAUUAUAUCUCUUACUGUUCUUGAACUGCUGAUCUUUUUUUCUUCUUUUUUCUUAUCUUUUCUUUUUUUUUUUUCUUUUUUUUUAUCUGAUAUUAGAGCAG
rnacentral:sRNA from 2 species